CUUUAGCCCACUAGUCUCCCCCUCCCCUAUAAAUGUAGUGUCCAGCGGUGCAGGUGGAGGUUCCUACAAUAUAGGAUCUGCUCAGUGGAGAUCUUCUAUAUAAGAUUCUUCUCUCGAUUGACCCGUCAAGGAUGAAUAGGGACAGGGACAAGAUGGCGGAGAGUAUAAUAAAUCUCACCCUAGAGAUCCUCUUCCAGUUUACUGGAGAGGACUACACAGUAGUGAAGAAGACCUCUAGUGAGCACUGUCAGGAUCCUGUGUCUGAAG